rnacentral:misc_RNA from 1 species
AACGCACAUUGCGCCCCCCGGCCAUUCCGGGGGGCAUGCCUGUUCGAGCGUCAUUUAACACCCAUCAAGCCCUGCUUGGCCUUGAGCGACCCGGCCGCUACCCCAGCGGCCGCGCUCGAAAGGGGUCGGUCGCGGUCACAACGCCCCGAAGCAAUCGAGACGCAAGUCAUCUGCUUCGCUGGGUGCGGUGUGCCCGUGCGCCCACGCCUACUUCGGUAGGACCUUUCUUAGUUUGACCUCGGAUCAGGUAGGGAUACCCGCUGAACUUAA